rnacentral:rRNA from 1 species
GACGAACGCUGGCGGCGUGCCUAAUACAUGCAAGUAGAACGCACAGUUUAUACCGUAGCUUGCUACACCAUAGACUGUGAGUUGCGAACGGGUGAGUAACGCGUAGGUAACCUGCCUGGUAGCGGGGGAUAACUAUUGGAAACGAUAGCUAAUACCGCAUAAUAUUAAUUAUUGCAUGAUAAUUAAUUGAAAGGUGCAAUUGCACCACUACCAGAUGGACCUGCGUUGUAUUAGCUAGUAGGUGAGGUAACGGCUCACCUAGGCGACGAUACAUAGCCGACCUGAGAGGGUGAUCGGCCACACUGGGACUGAGACACGGCCCAGACUCCUACGGGAGACAGCAGUAGGGAAUCUUCGGCAAUGGACGAAAGUCUGACCGAGCAACGCCGCGUGAGUGAAGAAGGUUUUCGGAUCGUAAAGCUCUGUUGUAAGAGAAGAACGGGUGUGAGAGUGGAAAGUUCACACUGUGACGGUAUCUUACCAGAAAGGGACGGCUAACUACGUG